rnacentral:rRNA from 1 species
AGAGUUUGAUCAUGGCUCAGAACGAACGCUGGCGGCGCGUUUUAAGCAUGCAAGUCGGACGGCAAGGCGGGUAGCAAUACCUGCCCUAGAGUGGCGAACGGGUGAGUAACACGUAGGUGAUCUACCUCUGGAUGGGGGAUAGCCCGUGGAAACACGGGGUAAUACCGCAUGAGGCCUUGUGGGUAAAGCCAUGAGGUGAAAGGUGCAAUUGCAUCGUCUGGGGAUGAGCCUGCGGUCCAUUAGUUAGUUGGCGGGGUAAUGGCCCACCAAGACGACGAUGGAUAGCCGGCCUGAGAGGGUGGACGGCCACACUGGAACUGAGACACGGUCCAGACUCCUACGGGAGGCAGCAGCUAAGAAUCUUCCGCAAUGGGGGCAACCCUGACGGAGCGACGCCGCGUGGAUGAUGAAGGCCGUAAGGUUGUAAAAUCCUUUUGUCGGUGAAGAAUAAGCGGGGGAGUGGAAAGCCCCCGUGAUGACGUUAGCCGACGAAUAAGCCCCGGCUAAUUACGUGCCAGCAGCCGCGGUAAUACGUAUGGGGCGAGCGUUGUUCGGAUUUAUUGGGCGUAAAGGGCGUGUAGGCGGCUCAUCAAGUCUGGUGUGAAAACGCAAGGCUUAACCUUGCAUAGGCGCUGGAAACUGGUGGGCUUGAGUUCUUGAGGGGAAGCUGGAAUUCCAGGUGUAGGGGUGAAAUCUGUAGAUAUCUGGAAGAACACCGGUGGCGAAGGCGAGCUUCUAUCAGAGGACUGACGCUGAGGCGCGAAAGCGUGGGGAGCAAACAGGAUUAGAUACCCUAGUAGUCC